AGAGUUUGAUCAUGGCUCAGGAUGAACGCUAGCGGCAGGCUUAACACAUGCAAGUCGAGGGGUAACAGGAGUAGCUUGCUACUUGCUGACGACCGGCGCACGGGUGCGUAACGCGUAUAGAAUCUACCUUGUACUAGGGGAUAGCCUUUGGAAACGAAGAUUAAUACCCUAUAGUAAGUAUUUAUGGCAUCAUUUAUACUUUAAAGGUUACGGUACAAGAUGACUAUGCGUCCUAUUAGUUUGUUGGUGAGGUAACGGCUCACCAAGACUUCGAUAGGUAGGGGCCCUGAGAGGGGGAUCCCCCACACUGGUACUGAGACACGGACCAGACUCCUACGGGAGGCAGCAGUGAGGAAUAUUGGACAAUGGAGGCAACUCUGAUCCAGCCAUGCCGCGUGCAGGAUGACGGCCCUAUGGGUUGUAAACUGCUUUUAUGUAGGAAGAAACACUCUCACGUGUGAGAGCUUGACGGUACUACAAGAAUAAGGACCGGCUAACUCCGUGCCAGCAGCCGCGGUAAUACGGAGGGUCCAAGCGUUAUCCGGAAUCAUUGGGUUUAAAGGGUCCGUAGGCGGGCUAUUAAGUCAGAGGUGAAAGUUUGCAGCUCAACUGUAAAAUUGCCUUUGAAACUGGUAGUCUUGAAUUAUUAUGAAGUGGUUAGAAUAAGUAGUGUAGCGGUGAAAUGCAUAGAUAUUACUUAGAAUACCAAUUGCGAAGGCAGAUCACUAAUAAUAUAUUGACGCUGAGGGACGAAAGCGUGGGGGAGCGAACAGGAUUAGAUACCCUGGUAGUCCACGCCGUAAACGAUGGAUACUAGCUGUUCGGAUUUAUCUGAGUGGCUAAGCGAAAGUGAUAAGUAUCCCACCUGGGGAGUACGUUCGCAAGAAUGAAACUCAAAGGAAUUGACGGGGGCCCGCACAAGCGGUGGAGCAUGUGGUUUAAUUCGAUGAUACGCGAGGAACCUUACCAGGGCUUAAAUGUAGUCUGACAGGCGUGGAAACAUGCUUUUUCUUCGGACAGAUUACAAGGUGCUGCAUGGUUGUCGUCAGCUCGUGCCGUGAGGUGUCAGGUUAAGUCCUAUAACGAGCGCAACCCCUGUUGUUAGUUGCCAGCGAGUCAUGUCGGGAACUCUAACAAGACUGCCAGUGCAAACUGUGAGGAAGGUGGGGAUGACGUCAAAUCAUCACGGCCCUUACGUCCUGGGCCACACACGUGCUACAAUGGUAGGUACAGAGAGCAGCCACUGCGCGAGCAGGAGCGAAUCUACAAAACCUAUCUCAGUUCGGAUCGGAGUCUGCAACUCGACUCCGUGAAGCUGGAAUCGCUAGUAAUCGGAUAUCAGCCAUGAUCCGGUGAAUACGUUCCCGGGCCUUGUACACACCGCCCGUCAAGCCAUGGAAGCUGGGGGUACCUGAAGUCGGUCACCGCAAGGAGCCGCCUAGGGUAAAACUGGUAACUAGGGCUAAGUCGUAACAAGGUA
rnacentral:rRNA from 1 species